rnacentral:rRNA from 1 species
GACGAACGCUGGCGGCGUGCCUAAUACAUGCAAGUAGAACGCUGAAGAGAGGAGCUUGCUCUUCUUGGAUGAGUUGCGAACGGGUGAGUAACGCGUAGGUAACCUGCCUUGUAGCGGGGGAUAACUAUUGGAAACGAUAGCUAAUACCGCAUAACAAUGGAUGACACAUGUCAUUUAUUUGAAAGGGGCAAUUGCUCCACUACAAGAUGGACCUGCGUUGUAUUAGCUAGUAGGUGAGGUAAUGGCUCACCUAGGCGACGAUACAUAGCCGACCUGAGAGGGUGAUCGGCCACACUGGGACUGAGACACGGCCCAGACUCCUACGGGAGGCAGCAGUAGGGAAUCUUCGGCAAUAGGGGCAACCCUGACCGAGCAACGCCGCGUGAGUGAAGAAGGUUUUCGGAUCGGAAAGCUCUGUUGUAAGUCAAGAACGGGUGUGAGAGUGGAAAGUUCACACUGUGACGGUAGCUUACCAGAAAGGGACGGCUAACUACGUG